rnacentral:sRNA from 1 species
GUUUGCACUUAUCGGGGAAGGGUGAGAACCUUCGAUUAAGGUUCGACUCUUGCGUUAGCAAGAGAACGUUACCGAAGGUAACGGCCCGAAGGGUGAGGAGCGAAGCGACGAAUAAUCCUUCCCCCACCACCA